UAAUUAUAUUUAUAGUUUUUCUUGUAAUUGUACUUAUAUUAGUAAAAAUUUUAGUUUUUAUUGCUUUAUAACUAGUUUGCAUAUAUAGAAUAACAUUUUCUUAGACAAUUACUGCAUAUCAUUAGUUAAGUACAAGAUUUUCAUAAUAAUUAGUAAGAUUUUUAAUCUUCCUCAAUCUUGAUAUCUAUAUAUCUUUAAUAUGCUUUUGUAGUUAUUGCCAAUCUUCAGCAUUUUUCUAAGCUUCAUUGUGUAAGCUAAAAGUUUUUUAAACCAAAACUAACAUUACCAGAAAGUUGAUUUUGUCUUAAAAUCUAUUAUGUAGACUUUUUUUCUGUUAUAGGACUCAGAUUGGUUUUUAAAUUUAGACAUAAAAGGUACAAAACACAGAAUUUUUGAUAUAAAAAAUUUUUACAGUUUACAUGGAAUGAAGAAUCCAGUUUUCAUAGCAUUUGGACUGUUCAAAACAAAAUAUUCUUUGAUGAUAUUUGCUUUGCCCUCAUAAAUAUUACUACUAGCAUUUUCUUCUGGAUAUUGAAACACCAUAGAUUUGUAUGAUUAAUGCAUUAAAAUUUACACAGUCAAAGAUCAAUGGUGGUUAUUCUGCUGCAUCCUUUUUAAUGUUUAUAAGUAUUACACCAUUUCCAAGUGUUAUUUAUCGAGGUGAGAUCGAUCUUGUUAAUUGGGUUUGUCUGUUUACAGCAGUUAGAAUAUACUGCCAACGCUUCCACAAUCCUCCCGAGGGAGGAUUGCAGAAGUGUUGGCGGUAUAUUUCAACUGCUUAUAAGUAUUGGGUAGUUUAUUGUUAUUAAUAGUAAUUUAUGCA
rnacentral:lncRNA from 1 species